GACAGAGGGUGCAAACGUUGUUCGGAAUCACUGGGCGUAAAGCGCGUGUAGGCGGUCGGAUAAGUCGGGCGUGAAAGCCCACGGCUCAACCGUGGAAGUGCACUCGAAACUAUUCGACUGGAGUCCUGGAGAGGAAGGUGGAAUACUCGGUGUAGAGGUGAAAUUCGUAGAUAUCGAGUGGAACACCGGUGGCGAAGGCGGCCUUCUGGACAGUGACUGACGCUGAGACGCGAAAGCGUGGGGAGCAAACAGGAUUAGAAACCCCUGUAGUCC
rnacentral:rRNA from 1 species